UACGAAGGGUGCAAACGUUGCUCGGAAUCAUUGGGCGUAAAGCGCACGUAGGCGGCCUCAUAAAUCGGAUGUGAAAUCCCUCGGCUCAACCGAGGAAGUGCAUCCGAAACUGCGAGGCUCGAGUAUGGAAGAGGGUCGCAGAAUUCCCGGUGUAGAGGUGAAAUUCGUAGAUAUCGGGAGGAAUACCAGUGGCGAAGGCGGCGACCUGGGCCAAUACUGACGCUGAGGUGCGAAAGCGUGGGGAGCAAACAGG
rnacentral:rRNA from 1 species